AGGAGUACAAAUUAGUAAUAGCCCUGACUUUUCCUAAAGAAUUACCAUCCUAUGCCAUUGAAAAUAACUUUAAAAUAAACUUCAUAAGAUAUUCCUUAAAAAUCGCCAAUCAAUUAAUUAUGCAUUUAGUAAUUUGUUUCCAUAUUCUGCGCCACAUAUUUCAACAAUACCUAAUAUAUUGAUUAUCAUAUAUUUUCAAAUAUUCGAUUUAGUUUAAAAAUUGAAGGCAGAGGAUAUUUUCACUCAAUAAUUCAUUGGCUUGGGAAGACAAACCCUAUGACAUCGAUCAAGGAUGUUGAUUCUCACUGCAAGAGUCCUAUCAGCAAAGGCCUUGUAUGUGUGGCUGAUAUCAAGUUCCCUCUGCCGUACAUGCCAAAAUCUUUCUCUCAUAUGCUCUGGAUUAUCUCCCACACAACCUAAACAAGACCAUGCCUGAAUUUGCUAGAGUUGCUUCAGAUGGUGUAGUUCUUUUUGCAGGUCUCCUGGUCAAGCAAAAGAGUAAAGUUGCUGAAUUUUCUAAAUUCGGGCGUCCAACUAAAAUGUGUAGCACAUCAUGGUGGGACCGAUUCUAUAACCAGACAAGCUUAGAAGGAAGACGCACCAAGCAAGAAGUUUGAACAAGCCUGCCAAGUCUUUCACCUCAAGCAAGCCAUUGCAUUAGUCAGCCACCACUAAUCCAAACUAAAGCAUAUUCACACGUAAGGAAUUAAAUAGAUAAUUGUUAUUCUCCUUUGUAUUUUGCAACAAAGUCUUUGUCCAUGUAUCUAUGAACACCAUUUUUCAUAUUGAAUUUAAAUCAUUAGCAUCACCA